rnacentral:tRNA from 1 species
GUCUUAGUAGCUUAACAAA